GCCUGUUACAAGCAGUGAGGAAAAGUGGAGGGACAUAUUUCUCGUGUUGAACCCACACCAACGGCGAAACAUUGCAUUGCCAACGCAGAAUUUGAGUGGUGACCAACACCAGCCUGAAAACUCUGACCACGAUACUUUAAAAAUGGACUUCUCUAACUUUACAAAAAUACCUAUUAUAAUUGUGGUUCAAACGAAGUGAAGUGAAGUGAACUCUAUUUGUGAUAGGACAUACAUCUGCUGAACUUUGCUGUUUGUUUUUCUCAACAUAUUUGCGAACUAAAUUGAAGAAAUUUAGAUCCAUUGACCGUUCAAGAAAUUGAAUAAAGAAACUGCAGCGGCAUAUUGGGUCUCGUUUGCUUUAGAUGUAAAGGGUCGAUGUUUGACUGUUCAGAGCACUAAGAAUUCAUAACAAGAAUUGAGUAGAUCAGGAAGCUACAUAUCUAUGGGUCGAUAUGCGUCUAUGAAUCAUUAUGUGUGAGUUAUUUUAUAUGUUGCCAACACUUUCCUUAAUCGUUAUUAAUAUGAUGAAGGGCUAAAGAGAACUGUUUAGUCGCUCUUAAAAAUGUGUUUCUUAUCACUAUAAAAAAAGCUUUAGGGGCCUACUCAUUAGUUCAUAGAAUUUACUUAGUUCUCCUACUUCCCUUAUUAUCUCGGAAAACUAUACAAGACUAACGUAAGUUUUAACUCAUUUUGUUUCUAAUUAUCUUAUUGCCCCCUUCUUUGUGUCAUUGUUAUUUUCAUAGAGCUUUGGUUUAUCUUCGUUUACUGAUACAUUCACUCUGAACCUUCAAUCUUUGAAGAUAACUUGGUUAUGGAAACGCGCAUCAAACAGUCAUGAAAACUUUUUAUACUUGUUUCAGUUUAUUUUCUUAUGUUGGAUGAUAUGUACGUUACAAAGGUCAUAAUUCUCUCAUUCUGGUUUAGAUAUAAGUUCCAAGCUGUGAAAUUUUGGUACGAUCAUCAAUUCUAAAUAUUAGUAGAUUAAAUUUUUACUGGAUUUAUCCGAAUAAGCAAAAAAUGACAUUAUAGUAAACACAAAUAAUUCAUCUCUUUCAGUUGAACAAUAACCAAAUCAAUUAUAAAGAGAAAGUCUCCUCUAAGCUGGUUAACUGUAAUUCCAUUGAAUUUUCCUUAAUUCGUGGAAAUCUGUAGAACUUCCCAAAUCAUGUCAAUCUACAUAUUGUUAAAAAUGCUAGAAAUGUUUGUAUAAUUUGGAAAUACAUGUGGUGUUCUGAACCAUUUAGUCGCACCAUGUUAAAAAAUAACUAUUAUUGAAAGCGUUUUUAAAAAAAAAUUGUGCAGACCAACCGUCUUGUCGGAAAACAAUCUACUCGUAGUUGAAAGAAAGUGAUUUUUAUCACUAAAUUUCACUUGCUAGAUUUUCUCCUGAGAAAAUAUUUCUUUAGUUGUUUUCACUUUACCUUGUUCAGCAAUGUUUUUGAAUGAACAAAUAUUACUAGUUCAAGCAGCAGAAAAACAAUUUUCUUUUGACAUUGAAUCUGGUAGAUUGCUUUUUUUGGAUUUCUGAAAUUCUGGAUAUAACCUCAUUUCUCAAACUCAUCUGAUUAUAGUGGAUUUUAUAAGAAUUUGCCUCCCGCAUAAGGCCAAAUAAAUAAAUUAUUGAAUUGUUGAUUUAUGUGACCUCCAAAACGCAAUUUAAAAAUCUGUACUAUUUCGUCUUCCGUGUAUAUCUUAUAAAAUUAUAAUAAUAUCAGCUUAAGGCGCAAAUGCAAAUGAAUCCAGUUUACCAACUUUAUUAUAAUUUAAUGCAACGUUCUCUUGAAAUUUACACUGAAUAGAAGUAAAUGGGUUGAAGAAUUUACAUUAAAAUUCUUAUGUUCUGUAAAAAAACAAGAAUUUUUUCUAUAACCUUAACCUAAAGCAAACAUCAUGAUCAUUUUUCAAACAGUAGGAUCUUUGCCACAGUAGUACAAACUGAUAAAAUAAAUUGAAUACUAAGGGAAGUUACCUUUUUCAAAUGUUUUAUUCUACCAUACAAAACUAAAAGUUGGAAUAAAUAUUAUAAAGACGUAUAAUACAAUAACAAGCAAAUUUUAAUUCCUACUUGUAACUUAGUAAUUGGUAGGUCUUAUCUAUCUAGUUGCUGAGUAAUCAAUACCAAACACUCGAAGGGUUAAUAAUUCUUUCAUAAUUAACUCAUAGUUAACUGUUAUUAGGGGUUAACAUAAUUGGCUAGAAGUUGAUUAGUUCUCACCCUUUUUUCAUCGAUUAUAAACUCGUGAUUGGAGGUUUCGUUCGUUAAAAAAAUUCAUAUUAUCUCCAUGAGGUUGUCUCCCUAUCACUAAAAACAUAAUAAUUAUGACCUUACAAAUAAAACUCGACAUUUCAAGAGAAGUUUCUCAUGCAAUGGCGGUUGAUUAGGGAAGUUCUGCUGCACGUAUAUAUUAAAUGACACUACAGAUGAAUAAUUUAAAUAUAAAAAUACAAUAGCACAUCUAUAACAUGCCAUGACGGCACAACGUAAAUAUUUGAAUAAUUAGUUCUGUUAAUAGAAUCAAUCAAUCAAAUUAAUUUACUCAUAUUUUUGAAAUUUCGAAUCGCAAUAUGUGUGCACAUAUUAGUAUGUCUUAUCGUGCAAAUUUGCCCCAAACUGUAUAUUUAUCUAUAUAAUAUUUAAUUCGUGGACUACUAAUCGGCAAUGUCUGAAUAUCGAUGUGUGGCUUAGAUGUUAGGGGCCAUGAUGGAUGGCUGACGUCAUCCCAAAUCCAGUAAGCCGUAUCGAGGGGGAUAUGUUGUCAAUUAGGUGCAACUCUGUUCCCCUCUUCAUCACAUGCAUGUUCCUCCCACGCGCGACAUUGCUACACUGCGACUGGCUUCCAUUUUGAUUGCAAUUUUAACCCUCUAGUAUUCGAUUUCAUCCCCCUAGGUUAUAGAACAAGGUAUUAUCAAGAAAAUUACCUCCUAUUUGGGAACAACUUAACGUUUAAUCGUGGUGUAAUUGAAAAUUAAAUUGCAUUUUUUUCUAAGGUUGAUGUUGAUACUCUUUUUUAGAUCAAAAGGGAAGAAAGUGAUUUAAUUAGAAAGAUUAAACACACGGUACAUUUUAUUUUUUCUUGAGAAAGAUUAUUUUUUGGUGGCUACAGUUUUAGAAUUUUAUUUAUAUAAACUAUGAAGUUUUAUAGUAUUCCUUCUAAUUAAACGCCUCUAAGUUAAAUGUUAUGUUUUCGUUUAAUAUUUUUUACUCUAUCUCCUGCUUUCUUUCUCUUAUUGGAGUGUUUAUAACACUGAGGUGUGUGAACUCUUCUCUUGAUCCUAUUUUGAUCUUUUCAGUCAUGUUUUUAUUUCCUAACCUUGAUAUUUUUGUUUUCCCUACAUUUAUUCUUCCCCAUCAUUCUAUCUUGUUCUAUAACUUCCGUCAGCAUAACUUCCAUUACUUUAUUUGUCUUGGUAAUGACGACGCUACAAGUUUCUCUAUUCAUAGAAUCAAAAGACUGCUGAGGAUUAACUCUAGCAACAUUUUUUGUUUUUUAAAUUGAUUUUUUUAUUAUUUAUCACAUUGUAUGUAUCGCAUCUAUAGGAAACGUUAGGAAUAGAUGUUUUUCCAUUUAUUUGAUAAUAUACAUCAUAGUCUCCCUCAAGAUACCCUUACGUUUAUUCAGCGAGAACAUUUUUGUCUAUGAACAAACAAAACACACUUGUACUCAAUUAGGAUUUGGUGUAAGCAAAACCUAAUUUGAAAAGUAAAAUUGCUAUUAAACACUCGCGAUAUAGUACUUUUCUUUCCUUGUAUACGAGGUCGUCUCUUCUAACUGCCCUCGUUCGAUCCAUGCAAAAAUUUCUAUUCAUUAACUAUUGUUUUUAUAUUAUUUCAAGUAGACGUUGAUCAAAAUACAGAUACCAUAACUCUACCAUUAUCAAAAUUAUCUAAGAAUCUAAAAGGUAUACUCAGAAACUUCACUUAGUUGAAAAUUGCGGUAUGAUAAAUUGAUUCCAAUUCGAUGAAUACAUGAGUAUUCGAAAGCUCGGAAACGAUUCAAAAUUUAUUUCGUAAUUAUAAGUUCAGUAAGUUAAUGGAUCUAAAGCUCUUUUGAUUUCACAACCAGAACACUUUGAUGCAAAUUAACCUUUAUACAUAUAGUCUACAGUCUUCACCAAUUUCGAAUUAUUAGUGCUAGUUACAUCUAGACGAAAUUGUCAAUUCGAUAACGACGUUAAUAAUGUUAGUAAUACUACUGGUUUAAUUAACACGGCAAUACGUUUUCUUUGAGAAUAGCGCCAAUAUUCUUACACGAACAUUUUGAGUUUUACAAUAAAACGUAACCUUUGGAUGCGAGAUUAAACAUGUCUGUUAUCCUUUUACUUUAUCUACAAUCUAUACUCAUUAAUUCGUUGACAUGUUAGCAUAAAGCGUGUUGUCGACAAAAUUCAUACAUCGUUUACUUUUGGCCCCCCUAAUAGCUCUCGUAGCGACAGAGACGGAUUAAAAGAAACUGUUUGGAAUGUGUAUACCAUGAUCUUGGUAUUUGAAUAAAUAAUCUAUUUUAUGUCGACGAUAAAAUCUGUUCUAACUAUACGGAAAAGAUGCAAUUGACCAUUCAAAUUCUUUAAACUCAUAUUAAGAUGUUUAAAAAUAAUUGAAAAAGUUUUCUUACAUCAAUCUCAAAUAAAAAGUGUUUAGUCUUCUAGACAAUAUCGCAUUAAAUUAAACUAAUAGCGAUUUUUCGACUUGCUUAAUCUAAUCUCCUGAUUUAAUAUCUUCCAACUUUUUUCUGUCCGUUUCUUAUUUGUAAAUCUUCAUAACAUGAAUAAAUUUUAGUUUCUCAUUCCUCUUUUCUUUCCACAAGAUCACAAAAUGUAAUAAAUAACUUGCUCAUUAUCAACAAAUACUUCUUACCUUUUAGAGAUAUCCAUAAUAUUUCCAAAUCUUUAUUAAAUGUAACAUUAUAAUAUUAUAUUUAUUGUUUAUUCCGUGGAACUAUAAUUAAGUUACUACCGAUACGGUCCUGAUAGCACCCCGCUGGAUGUCGAUGAAGCGCCGUGCAUAUAUUACAAGAGUCCCCCGAAGAGUACUAAUCCUUGGUAAAUUGUGUUUUAGUCUUCGCAGGGAGAUUGAUUGUUUGAAAGGCAGCAACGUUGUAAGACAUGAGAUGGACGUAACUAAGUAUAAUGGAAUUAAUAUUUUAUACCGAACGACACCUUAAUUUCUGAUAUACUUACCUAUUCCAAUUAAGAAUCUGUCUAGUUAGUAUAAGAUUUUUUAAACUGAUAAUAAAAAUGAGUCCUUACUAUUUAUUUUACGAGGAAUAACAGAAAAAAUAUUUUGAUAAAGACCGAAAUAGAUUGGAACGUCUAUUUCUUACAUGUUUUAAAUUCUAAUUUUCAAUCGAAAGAAACUUAAAAUCAAAACAAUGUUAGUAUCAAAAACAUAAAAAAGAAAAA